rnacentral:rRNA from 1 species
AUGCACGCUGGCGGCGUGCCUAAUACAUGCAAGUCGCGCGAACGGACGAGAAGCUUGCUUCUCUGAUGUUAGCGGCGGACGGGUGAGUAACACGUGGAUAACCUACCUAUAAGACUGGGAUAACUUCGGGAAACCGGAGCUAAUACCGGAUAAUAUUUUGAACCGCAUGGUUCAAAAGUGAAAGACGGUCUUGCUGUCACUUAUAGAUGGAUCCGCGCUGCAUUAGCUAGUUGGUAAGGUAACGGCUUACCAAGGCAACGAUGCAUAGCCGACCUGAGAGGGUGAUCGGCCACACUGGAACUGAGACACGGUCCAGACUCCUACGGGAGGCAGCAGUAGGGAAUCUUCCGAAAUGGGCGAAAGCCUGACGGAGCAACGCCGCGUGAGUGAUGAAGGUCUUCGGAUCGUAAAACUCUGUUAUUAGGGAAGAACAUAUGUGUAAGUAACUGUGCACAUCUUGACGGUACCUAAUCAGAAAGCCACGGCUAACUACGUG